ensembl:snRNA U6 U6 spliceosomal RNA
GUGCUCCCUUCGGCAGCACCUGUACUAAAAUGAGGCCAAUACGGAGAAGAGUAGCAUAGCUGCUGCGCAGAGAUGAUACGCACAUUGCUAGAGCGUUCCAUAUUUAA